UACGAAGGGUGCUAGCGUUGUUCGGAAUCAUUGGGCGUAAAGCGUACGUAGGCGGCUUUGUAAGUCGAUUGUGAAAGCCCCAAGCUUAACUUGGGAACUGCAACCGAAACUGCUUGGCUUGAGUUUGGUGGGGGAUGGCGGAAUUCCUAGUGUAGGGGUGAAAUCCGUAGAUAUUAGGAGGAAUAUCGGUGGCGAAGGCGGCCAUCUAUGCCAAUACUGACGCUAAGGUACGAAAGCGUGGGGAGCAAACAGG
rnacentral:rRNA from 1 species